UGGAUUAGGCAUGCAAGUCGAACGAGAGCUUGUGUUGUAGCAAUACUAUACGAGCAAAAGUGGCGAAAGGGUGAGUAACACGUGGGUAACCUACCUCUAAGUUGGGGAUAACACCGGGAAACUGGUGCUAAUACCGGAUGUGGUUGCUGUUCGCAUGAACGGCGUACUGAAGCCGGGGAUUCUUCGGAACCUGGCGCUUGGAGAUGGGCCCGCGUACCAUCAGCUAGUUGGUGAGGUAACGGCCCACCAAGGCUUACGGUUAGCUGGUCUGAGAGGACGACCAGCCACAUUGGGACUGAGAUACUGCCCAGACUCCUACGGGAGGCUGCAGUCGAGGAUCUUUUGCAAUGGGCGCAAGCCUGACAAAGCGACGCUGCGUGGAGGAUGAAGGCCUUCGGGUUGUAAACUCC
rnacentral:rRNA from 1 species